rnacentral:tRNA from 1 species
GGGGUUGUAGCUCAGUGGCAGAGCGCUUGCCUAGCAUGUGUGAGGCCCUGGGUUCAAUUCUUAGCACCA